rnacentral:rRNA from 1 species
UGAGUAACCUGCCCUUAACUCUGGGAUAAGCCUGGGAAACUGGGUCUAAUACCGGAUAUGACUCCUCAUCGCAUGGGUGGGGGGUGGAAAGCUUUUUUGUGGUUUUGGAUGGACUCGCGGCCUAUCAGCUUGUUGGUGAGGUAAUGGCUCACCAAGGCGACGACGGGUAGCCGGCCUGAGAGGGUGACCGGCCACACUGGGACUGAGACACGGCCCAGACCUCCGUACGGGAGGCAG